ACUAAAUUCUGUAAAUACUAAAAUUGGAAUGAUACAAAGAUUAGCAUGACCCCUGCAUAAUGAUGAUGGUCAAAUUUGUGAAAUAUUCGAAACUUUU
rnacentral:snRNA from 1 species